GCAUUGGUGGUUCAGUGGUAGAAUCUCCUCGCCUGCCACGCGGGAGGCCCGGGUUCGAUUCCCGGCCAUGCA
rnacentral:tRNA from 1 species